GAAAGUGUUGUUGUGGAAUGUGAAGACGACAAAUUUCAGUUGGCAAGUUUUGAGUCUGUGUUCAAUGAUAUUGAUGAUUCGAAGUUUGAUAACUUUUUCUCAUCUCUACUUGAAAUGGAAGACCUUAAGAAGAAGGACAAAAGCAACUUUGAGAUGGACCUGGACAAAUUUUUGAUACCGAAGAAUAACUCCCAUGUUGAUCCUACACGAAAAACAAAUAUUUUUAUUUCUGAAC